rnacentral:rRNA from 1 species
UACGUAGGGUGCAAGCGUUGUCCGGAAUUAUUGGGCGUAAAGAGCUCGUAGGCGGUCUGUCGCGUCUGCUGUGAAAACUCGGGGCUUAACCCCGGGCCUGCAGUGGGUACGGGCAGACUAGAGUGCGGUAGGGGAGACUGGAAUUCCUGGUGUAGCGGUGAAAUGCGCAGAUAUCAGGAGGAACACCGGUGGCGAAGGCGGGGCUCUGGGCCGUUACUGACGCUGAGGAGCGAAAGCAUGGGGAGCGAACAGG